GUGCUCGCUUUGGCAGCACAUAUACUAAAAUUGGAACGAUAUAGAGAAGAUUAGCAUGGCACCUGUGCAAGGAUGACACGCAAAUGUGUGAAGCGUUCCAUAUUUCU
ensembl:snRNA U6 U6 spliceosomal RNA